UCUGUAUGUCUUUCUACAAACUGGACAUGUCAACUUCAUUAUCAACCAAGGAUCAACACAAGCAACAUGAAACAAAUGACCACAACUAGGAAGCAUUCUCAACAAAUCAGAUUCUUUAUAAUCCAUCAAACAUAUUGAGCAGCAACAACUACUAAUUGAAUUAAUAUUAUUGCUGUUACAUAAUUUCACUUCAGAUAAAUAUGGUAUAGUCCUAAUUUGAUCAUUGCUUCUACACACAUUUGUAGUAGUACUUUGUUCCAAACGUGGUUGAUGUUGUUGAUCAGCUGGUUCCAUUACAGUAAUUGUGGUUUGGUUGGAGUUUGUGUCAUGUACUCCAAGAGGCUGAUGAGAAGGAGGUUGAGUAGAAGAAGUGGGUAUAGUACAUAGAUAAGAGGCAAUUGUAAUUAAGAGAGUUAUCAUUAUUAGGCAUACAAGAAAUAAGAUGAAAUAAGCCAUUUUCUUAAACUCUUCAUCAUGAAUGUUCAUGUCUCUACUAUAAUUAUGAGAUCAUUGGUUAAUUUUGAGCAUGAUGAUUUUGUUUAUAUAUGCUAAUUUCCGUUAUGAAAAAUCUAUUGUGAAGUGACAUUCAGCAUUUCCCUUUUAAAUAAUUACAGUGUUUUCCGUAAUGGUAAAUCUAUAUGUCCUAUUUUAUUUUAUGUUGGAUCCUAAUUUGUCCUAUUGUAAUACAUCAAAAUAAGUCAAAUUGUAAGAAAAAUAUUCUAUACUACUGCUGCGUACCGUUAUGUAUGUCU
rnacentral:lncRNA from 1 species